rnacentral:rRNA from 1 species
AGUCACUGACAUUAGAUACCCCCGUAGUCCCAGCCGUAAACAAUGUGCGUUAGGUGUGUCGGUAACCACGUGUUACUGAUGCGCCGAAGAGAAAUCGUUAAACUCGCUGCCUGGGGAGUACGGUCGCAAGGCUGAAACUUAAAGGAAUUGGCGGGGGAGCACCGCAACGGGAGGAGCGUGCGGCUCAAUUGGAUUCAACGCCGAAAAACUCACCAGGAGCGACGGAUAUAUGAAGGUCAAGCUGAUGACUUUACCUGAUUUUCCG